rnacentral:lncRNA from 1 species
AUUCUUCCAUCGAGGAUGAGGCUGAUCAUGUCUCACCUUUCUUGAUCUCAUGCUCGAUGCCCAGUCUCUCUGACUUUAUCAUUUUGUAUUAGAUUACUUAGUUAUAUUUUAUAGAUUGAAUGUAUGAGAGCUUUAUGCUCAUUAUGACUCUUGUAAUCUCUCUUUUGGUAUAAAUGAAUGAUUUCCAUUUGACUCAUUUUUCUUUGGAUAAAUGAAUGUUUAUUAUCAUGUCUCUUUGCAUAAAUAAAUA